rnacentral:rRNA from 1 species
CAGUCGCCACGGUAAUACGAAGGGGGCUAGCGUUGUUCGGAUUUACUGGGCGUAAAGGGCGCGUAGGCGGGUUUUUAAGUCAGGGGUGAAAUCCCAAGGCUCAACCUUGGAACUGCCUUUGAUACUGGAAAUCUUGAGUCCGGGAGAGGUGAGUGGAACUGCGAGUGUAGAGGUGAAAUUCGUAGAUAUUCGCAAGAACACCAGUGGCGAAGGCGGCUCACUGGCCCGGAACUGACGCUGAGGCGCGAAAGCGUGGGGAGCAAACAGGAUUAGAUACCCCAGUAGUCCCUGUCUCUUAUAC